GGUACUCCCAGAAAACACAAUGCCUACUGGACAUAAUCAUAGUAUCAAAAGUUGCCAACCACAUAAUGAAGUAAACGUCCAUGAAAGAGUCAAUAGAUGCAACAAAGGCCCCUACACCAGAUCCUGGAGGAACUCUCAUCACUCUGCAGCAGGAAUUCAGCUGAGAAUGCCAUGUACAUAGCUGGAAUAGCCGUUCAGCAGCAGAGGGACUCUCAGUGUGUGCAGUCUCCUGCGUGUAGCUGGUUGGCAUGGCCAGCCAGCUGUGGUUACCUGUGGGUAUCAGCCAGUUCUUAGAAGAACCAAGAGGAUGAAGAGGAAGAGAGGAAGAGCACAGUGCAGGCAGGACUGAUACUGAAGCUGAAGCUCCAAUACUUUGGCCACCUGAUGCAAAGAGCUGACUCAUUGGAAAAGACCAUGAUGCUGGGAAAGAUUGAAGACAGAAGGAAAAGAGAGCAACAGAGGAUGAGAUGGUUGGAUGGCAUCAAAGAUGGACAUGCAAUUGGGCAAACUCUGGGAGAUGAUGUGGUAUGGAGAAGCCUGACGUGCUGCAGUCCAUGGGGUCAUGAAGAGUCAAACACCAUUUCGCAACUGAACAAGAACAACCUAGGCUACUGAUGACUUUUAGAGAGUUUAACAGUGUAUAGCCCAGGAG
ensembl:lncRNA